rnacentral:piRNA from 1 species
UCUUUUACAGAAUGUUUGAAA